AGUCCUGUGGGCAGUGCCCUCCUGUGCCACAGGCCCUCGAAGGGGCAGCGACAGUGCUGGCUGUGCCAGGACCCCCGGGGGAGAGAGGCCUGGGUGGCCCCCCGGGCAAAGUGGGCAGACCUGGUGCCGCUGGCCAGAAGGGACAGAAGGGGGAUGCAGGCAGCCCUGGGGAUCCGGGCACCCCGGGCAUGGCUGGUGCCCCGGGGCUCUCGGGUGAGCCUGGCAUCAGGGGGCCAGCUGGUCCCAAAGGAGAGAAGG